AAGAAUUUUAUCUGGGUUGUUAGGCCACCGAUAGGAUUUGAUAUAAACUCAGAAUUCAGAAGCAAUGAAUGGUUGCCUGAGGGAUUUGAAGAAAGAAUCAAAGAAUCAGGAAGAGGGUUAUUGGUGCAUAAAUGGGCACCCCAAGUGGAAAUCUUGUCUCAUAAGUCUACAUGUGCAUUUUUGAGUCAUUGCGGAUGGAAUUCUACACUUGAAGCUCUAAGCCACGGGGUACCAUUGAUUGGAUGGGCAAUGGCAGCAGAGCAAUUUUUCAAUGUAAAAUUCUUGGAAGAAGAUUUGGGGGUGUGUGUGGAAGUGGCUAGAGGGAAGACUUGUGAGGUUAGGUACCAAGAAGUAAAGGCAAAAAUUGAAUUGGUAAUGAACGAGACAGAGAAAGGCAAGGAAAUAAGGCAAAAAGCUCGUGAGGUCAUGGAAAUGAUAAAAAAUGCCAUGAAAGAUAAAGAUGGUUUGAAGGGUUCCUCUGUGAAAGCGUUGGAUGAUUUUUUCCAAGCUGCAUUGUCAAUGAGAGAGAAGACCCAACAAUAAGGCCUAUGGAGGUUUUUUUCCUAUUUGAAUAUCUUUCACCUUUACUUCCCUUUUCCAUUCCAUUAGCAUAACAUAUUAAUAAUCAAAAAGGGAAGGAAAGGUGAAAGAUAUUAA
rnacentral:misc_RNA from 1 species